CAUGCAAGUAGAACGCUGAAGGAGGAGCUUGCUUCUCUGGAUGAGUUGCGAACGGGUGAGUAACGCGUAGGUAACCUGCCUGGUAGCGGGGGAUAACUAUUGGAAACGAUAGCUAAUACCGCAUAACAGUAGAUGUUGCAUGACAUUUGCUUAAAAGGUGCAAUUGCAUCACUACCAGAUGGACCUGCGUUGUAUUAGCUAGUUGGUGGGGUAACGGCUCACCAAGGCGACGAUACAUAGCCGACCUGAGAGGGUGAUCGGCCACACUGGGACUGAGACACGGCCCAGACUCCUACGGGAGGCGGCAGUAGGGAAUCUUCGGCAAUGGACGGAAGUCUGACCGAGCAACGCCGCGUGAGUGAAGAAGGUUUUCGGAUCGUAAAGUUCUGUUGUAAGAGAAGAACGAGUGUGAGAGUGGAAAGUUCACACUGUGACGGUAUCUUACCAGAAAGGGACGGCUAACUACGUGCCAGCAGCCGCGGUAAUACGUAGGUCCCGAGCGUUGUCCGGAUUUAUUGGGCGUAAAGCGAGCGCAGGCGGUUAGAUAAGUCUGAAGUUAAAGGCUGUGGCUUAACCAUAGUACGCUUUGGAAACUGUUUAACUUG
rnacentral:rRNA from 1 species